rnacentral:rRNA from 1 species
GGGACAACAGUUCGAAAGGACUGCUAAUACCGAAUGUUGUAGAGUUUCCGCAUGGGGAUCCUACUAAAGGUGGCCUCUACUUGUAAGCUAUCGCUUUACGAUGGGUCUGCGUCUGAUUAGCUAGUUGGUGGGGUAACGGCCUACCAAGGCGACGAUCAGUAGCCGGUCUGAGAGGAUGAACGGCCACAUUGGAACUGAGACACGGUCCAGACUCCUACGGGAGGCAGCAGUGGGGAAUCUUCCGCAAUGGGCGCAAGCCUGACGGAGCAACGCCGCGUGAGUGAAGAAGGGUUUCGACUCGUAAAGCUCUGUUGUCGGGGACGAAUGUCAGGACUCAAAAUAUGGGUUCUGAAUGACGGUACCUGACGAGGAAGCCACGGCUAACUACGUGCCAGCAGCCGCGGUAAUACGUAGGUGGCGAGCGUUGUCCGGAAUUAUUGGGCGUAAAGGGAGCGCAGGCGGGAAGGUAAGUCUAUCUUAAAAGUGCGGGGCUCAACCCCGUGAGGGGAUGGAAACUAUCUUUCUUGAGUGCAGGAGAGGAAAGCGGAAUUCCUAGUGUAGCGGUGAAAUGCGUAGAUAUUAGGAGGAACACCAGUGGCGAAGGCGGCUUUCUGGACUGUAACUGACGCUGAGGCUCGAAAGCGUGGGGAGCGAACAGGAUUAGAUACCCUGGUAGUCCACGCCGUAA